rnacentral:misc_RNA from 1 species
GUUAGAAAGAGGCCAUGGGGUAAAUAUGCUGCUGAAAUUCGUGAUUCUACGAGGAAUGGUGUUCGUGUAUGGCUAGGUACAUUUGAUAAUGCUGAAGAAGCUGCGUUAGCGUAUGAUCAAGCUGCAUUUGCUAUGAGAGGUUCGAUGGCCAUACUUAAUUUUCCUGUGGAGACAGUUAAGGAAUCGUUAAAUGAAAUGAAGUGUAGAUUUGAUGGUAAUUGUUCGCCGGUGAUUGAAUUGAAGAAGAGAUAUUCAAUGAGGAGAAAGAGUGUUAGUAGAAAAAACAGAGCAAGAAAAGAUGUUGUGGUUUUUGAAGAUUUGGGUGCUGAAUUGUUAGAGGAACUUUUGACGAGUACUUCCUCUAAUUAGAAUUAUAUUCUUCUACUUGUUUGUACAUAAAAAUUG